UGCCUGUAUUGUAAAUGUCAUCUUGGCAUAAUUAGGGUGAUUAUUGUUAACCAGUGGAGUUUAGUAUUUAUCUGUCACUGGGUGAGAGAAUAUAACAAAGCCCCAAUUAGUUAUAAAUGGUAGUGGGUGGUGGGAAUGGAACACAGCCUCUGAAAUGCUAUUUUUGUUUUAAAUUUGUUUCAGUGUUUAUUUGGUUUUAACAUCAGCAUUAAUGUGAUCUCCCCCUGACAGGAGGGCUUGCAAAUCACGUGCGUGUGUAGACGCCAUGGGUGUGAGGCCAGGAAUUACAGCGGAGAAGGCAUGAGCAGCGCUCUGAUUUCCUGCACAAAGCAUGGAUUUUCUCGGUGCCAGAUGGAAAUACGGAUGAUCCAUGAGUCUGUCCAGUGUUGCAGGCCCAGAAAAGCAGAAAGAGGAUGUGCAGAGACUCACCUUGUCACCCACGGAAGGAACUAAUGUCACCACCUGAAGACCUACAACAUGUCUGGGAGGAUCCGUGAGACUGUGGCCACAGCAGAGCAUGACUGCAGCAGCAAGGGCUUGCCAAGAAAAACAGAGUUUGACCUGUUUUUUUUGGAGUGGGAGGAACCUGGAUUUACUUUCCACAAGACUGCACAGGUAUCUGCAGCAUCAAUAAAAUGUGUUCUCCCUUCUUGAUCCAUCCUGUUACAUGACUGACAGUGCUUGGACACGGUGGAGAUUGGUAGCACUGAGAUCGGACUCCUAUCAAGGAAUUUGAAAUCAGAUUUGAGGUGAGUCCUGCUCCAAGUAUAGCUUAAAAUCAAAUUAUUUUAGUUGUGGAGGGAGGGGGAAGAGAAAUAGAGUAGGUGAAAUAAUAGCUACUGUCUAACUAAGAUAAGCCAGACAAGACAAAAUAUUAAUUCUGAUUAUGUUAGCACACCAAACAGAGAGAACUGUAAUUCCAUCUACCUGUCUAAAUCAGGGAAAAUUACUGUCACCAAUGGUGCAUAAUUCAGGGAUGAUAAAUCAUUAAAAGUAGGUAGAAAAGGUAACAUCCCAUUAUUUGAUGCUAUUGAUGAUAAGCCUGCCAGAGAAAGGGAGAUCCUCUGAGUUAGUGGCUCACGUUUCUUUGCAAAUAGAGAUGU
rnacentral:lncRNA from 1 species